rnacentral:rRNA from 1 species
UAACGCGUGGGUAACCUGCCUCAUACAGGGGGAUAACAGUUGGAAACGACUGCUAAUACCGCAUAAGCGCACAGGAUCGCAUGGUCCGGUGUGAAAAACUCCGGUGGUAUGAGAUGGACCCGCGUCUGAUUAGCUAGUUGGCAGGGUAACGGCCUACCAAAGCGACGAUCAGUAGCCGACCUGAGAGGGUGACCGGCCACAUUGGGACUGAGACACGGCCCAAACUCCUACGGGAGGCAGCAGUGGGGAAUAUUGCACAAUGGGGGAAACCCUGAUGCAGCGACGCCGCGUGAGCGAAGAAGUAUUUCGGUAUGUAAAGCUCUAUCAGCAGGGAAGAAGAAUGACGGUACCUGACUAAGAAGCACCGGCUAAAUACGUGCCAGCAGCCGCGGUAAUACGUAUGGUGCAAGCGUUAUCCGGAUUUACUGGGUGUAAAGGGAGCGCAGGCGGUGCGGCAAGUCUGAUGUGAAAGCCCGGGGCUCAACCCCGGUACUGCAUUGGAAACUGUCGUACUAGAGUGUCGGAGGGGUAAGUGGAAUUCCUAGUGUAGCGGUGAAAUGCGUAGAUAUUAGGAGGAACACCAGUGGCGAAGGCGGCUUACUGGACGAUAACUGACGCUGAGGCUCGAAAGCGUGGGGGAGCAAACAGGAUUAGAUACCCUGGUAGUCCACGCCGUAGACGAUGAAUACUAGGUGU